rnacentral:rRNA from 1 species
UCGAUUCCCUUAGUAGCGGCGAGCGAAACGGGAAGAGCCCAAACCAACAAGCUUGCUUGUUGGGGUUGUAGGACACUCUAUACGGAGUUACAAAGGACGACAUUAGACGAAUCAUCUGGAAAGAUGAAUCAAAGAAGGUAAUAAUCCUGUAGUCGAAAAUGUUGUCUCUCUUGAGUGGAUCCUGAGUACGACGGAGCACGUGAAAUUCCGUCGGAAUCUGGGAGGACCAUCUCCUAAGGCUAAAUACUCUCUAGUGACCGAUAGUGAACCAGUACCGUGAGGGAAAGGUGAAAAGCACCCCGGAAGGGGAGUGAAAUAGAACCUGAAACCGUGUGCUUACAAGUAGUCAGAGCCCGUUAAUGGGUGAUGGCGUGCCUUUUGUAGAAUGAACCGGCGAGUUACGAUUUGAUGCAAGGUUAAGCAGUAAAUGUGGAGCCGUAGCGAAAGCGAGUCUGAAUAGGGCGUUUAGUAUUUGGUCGUAGACCCGAAACCAGGUGAUCUACCCUUGGUCAGGUUGAAGUUCAGGUAACACUGAAUGGAGGACCGAACCGACUUACGUUGAAAAGUGAGCGGAUGAACUGAGGGUAGCGGAGAAAUUCCAAUCGAACCUGGAGAUAGCUGGUUCUCUCCGAAAUAGCUUUAGGGCUAGCCUCAAGUGAUGAUUAUUGGAGGUAGAGCACUGUUUGGACGAGGGGCCCCUCUCGGGUUACCGAAUUCAGACAAACUCCGAAUGCCAAUUAAUUUAACUUGGGAGUCAGAACAUGGGUGAUAAGGUCCGUGUUCGAAAGGGAAACAGCCCAGACCACCAGCUAAGGUCCCAAAAUAUAUGUUAAGUGGAAAAGGAUGUGGCGUUGCCCAGACAACUAGGAUGUUGGCUUAGAAGCAGCCAUCAUUUAAAGAGUGCGUAAUAGCUCACUAGUCGAGUGACACUGCGCCGAAAAUGUACCGGGGCUAAACAUAUUACCGAAGCUGUGGAUUGUCCUUUGGACAAUGGUAGGAGAGCGUUCUAAGGGCGUUGAAGCAUGAUCGUAAGGACAUGUGGAGCGCUUAGAAGUGAGAAUGCCGGUGUGAGUAGCGAAAGACGGGUGAGAAUCCCGUCCACCGAUUGACUAAGGUUUCCAGAGGAAGGCUCGUCCGCUCUGGGUUAGUCGGGUCCUAAGCUGAGGCCGACAGGCGUAGGCGAUGGAUAACAGGUUGAUAUUCCUGUACCACCUAUAAUCGUUUUAAUCGAUGGGGGGACGCAGUAGGAUAGGCGAAGCGUGCGAUUGGAUUGCACGUCUAAGCAGUAAGGCUGAGUAUUAGGCAAAUCCGGUACUCGUUAAGGCUGAGCUGUGAUGGGGAGAAGACAUUGUGUCUUCGAGUCGUUGAUUUCACACUGCCGAGAAAAGCCUCUAGAUAGAAAAUAGGUGCCCGUACCGCAAACCGACACAGGUAGUCAAGAUGAGAAUUCUAAGGUGAGCGAGCGAACUCUCGUUAAGGAACUCGGCAAAAUGACCCCGUAACUUCGGGAGAAGGGGUGCUCUUUAGGGUUAACGCCCAGAAGAGCCGCAGUGAAUAGGCCCAAGCGACUGUUUAUCAAAAACACAGGUCUCUGCUAAACCGUAAGGUGAUGUAUAGGGGCUGACGCCUGCCCGGUGCUGGAAGGUUAAGAGGAGUGGUUAGCUUCUGCGAAGCUACGAAUCGAAGCCCCAGUAAACGGCGGCCGUAACUAUAACGGUCCUAAGGUAGCGAAAUUCCUUGUCGGGUAAGUUCCGACCCGCACGAAAGGCGUAACGAUUUGGGCACUGUCUCAACGAGAGACUCGGUGAAAUCAUAGUACCUGUGAAGAUGCAGGUUACCCGCGACAGGACGGAAAGACCCCGUGGAGCUUUACUGUAGCCUGAUAUUGAAAUUCGGCACAGCUUGUACAGGAUAGGUAGGAGCCUUUGAAACGUGAGCGCUAGCUUACGUGGAGGCGCUGGUGGGAUACUACCCUAGCUGUGUUGGCUUUCUAACCCGCACCACUUAUCGUGGUGGGAGACAGUGUCAGGCGGGCAGUUUGACUGGGGCGGUCGCCUCCUAAAAGGUAACGGAGGCGCUCAAAGGUUCCCUCAGAAUGGUUGGAAAUCAUUCAUAGAGUGUAAAGGCAUAAGGGAGCUUGACUGCGAGACCUACAAGUCGAGCAGGGUCGAAAGACGGACUUAGUGAUCCGGUGGUUCCGCAUGGAAGGGCCAUCGCUCAACGGAUAAAAGCUACCCCGGGGAUAACAGGCUUAUCUCCCCCAAGAGUUCACAUCGACGGGGAGGUUUGGCACCUCGAUGUCGGCUCAUCGCAUCCUGGGGCUGUAGUCGGUCCCAAGGGUUGGGCUGUUCGCCCAUUAAAGCGGUACGCGAGCUGGGUUCAGAACGUCGUGAGACAGUUCGGUCCCUAUCCGUCGUGGGCGUAGGAAAUUUGAGAGGAGCUG